CUCGGCUCGGCGACACUCGGCGCGACUCGGCAAAACUCGGCGACAUUCAGCAAAAUACCGCCAAUUUAUCGGAACUACUGUGCAUACGCGUAACGUUACCAAAUUAUCGCGAUGAUUAAUGUUUGUCCUCGUAGUGUAAUUUUUUUCUAUGAGACUAAAAUAGAUACCACAGAUGAUAUACGAAGAAUAACGUCUUGCAUCUGAACGUAUCGAAACUGUGAUGUGACUUAAACCUUGGAAUCUUAUCACACAAAGAAGUUAAAUAUGACUCAGUCUUACUACGCUUUGUGCCGUCGAGAUAGCCAUCGGAAGCAUCGUGAAAUCACACACCGGUGUACGGAAAAGAACGUAAAAAUAAAAAGAGGAAUCCAGGAGUGGCAGCACGUCAUCAAUAUACCACGGCUCACCUGUCCGUUGUGUCUCGCUAAGUACAACGCCCCUUUGUUCGACAAAUAGAGAAAAAAGGAGCGGAGGGAAAAGGAGGAUAGUUGUGCCUAAGAUGAAAGCAUCGAGAGGCGAACCUCGCGGCCGACUGGAACCCCGCCAAAUAAUAUACCUAUCCACCCUCUUCCCUCUUUUUGCUCCCUCUCCUCUCCGUGAUGAGACAGCAGCCGCGUUACUAUCGGCUGUACGAACACCGUUGGCUCGCCACGGUACUUUUUAUAUUUAUUACGAGGAGGACAUGAGAGAGAGAGAGAGAAGAGAGGCAAGAUUAUCAAGCGACAGAAACGAAGAUGGAGAGAGAGAGAGAAACUGCCGCGGUGCAUAGCGCAGGGAGGAGUCGGAUGAUUCAACCUAUAUUUCGGCUUUUGUCAUAUCGCGAAACGGUAAGCUUCUUCAUCAUCGUCCGAGGAAGGGGGCCUUUUCCACCUGUCGCCGUUUCCCAGAUUCUCCGCGGGCGAACUCUACUCGCACACCUCUAUUCGUAUCUGUCACCGGCGAGUAUCCGGUGAAAAAAACGGCGCAAACAUCGAAAGACUUACGACUCGACGACUUGGAAUUACGACGCCACGAUCUUUUUAUGCUUACGGUUUAUAACAGCCGUGAAAAACAUAUAUA